rnacentral:rRNA from 1 species
GGCUUAGAGUUUGAUCAUGGCUCAGGAUAAACGCUGGCGGCGCACAUAAGACAUGCAAGUCGAACGGACUUAAUCGAAAUAUUUAUAUUUUGAAGCGGUUAGUGGCGGACUGGUGAGUAACGCGUAAGGAACCUGCCUGUUAGAGGGGAAUAACAGUGAGAAAUCAUUGCUAAUACCGCAUAUGCCAUAGUUACCACAUGGUAAUAGUGGGAAAGGAGCAAUCCGCUGACAGAUGGCCUUGCGUCUGAUUAGAUAGUUGGUGGGGUAACGGCCUACCAAGUCGACGAUCAGUAGCCGGACUGAGAGGUUGAACGGCCACAUUGGGACUGAGAUACGGCCCAGACUCCUACGGGAGGCAGCAGUCGGGAAUAUUGCGCAAUGGAGGAAACUCUGACGCAGUGACGCCGCGUAUAGGAAGAAGGUUUUCGGAUUGUAAACUAUUGUCGUUAGGGAAGAGAAAGGACAGUACCUAAGGAGGAAGCUCCGGCUAACUACGUGCCAGCAGCCGCGGUAAUACGUAGGGAGCGAGCGUUAUCCGGAAUUAUUGGGUGUAAAGGGUGCGUAGACGGGAGAACAAGUUAGUUGUGAAAUACCUCGGCUCAACUGAGGAACUGCAACUAAAACUGUACUUCUUGAGUGCAGGAGAGGUAAGUG